rnacentral:misc_RNA from 1 species
AAGUCGUAACAAGGUUUCCGUAGGUGAACCUGCGGAAGGAUCAUUAUCGAUUUUCUACCGAGGAGGGGGGGAGAUUGUAGCCAUGACCACCGGGCGUGUGCACGUCUCUCUUUUUCUUCGACUUACACACACAUACACCUUGUGCACUCGUUCGUAGGUCCUCGAGAGAGGAUCUAUGUUUUCAUUCAUUCAUUCUCCACGUCGUAUGUCUUAUGAACGAAGAAAAAAACAACAAUAAUACAACUUUCAGCGAUGGAUCUCUUGGCUCUC